UCAUCUCCGGGGGUAGAGCACUGUUUCGGCAAGGGGGUCAUCCCGACUUACCAACCCGAUGCAAACUGCGAAUACCGGAGAAUGUUAUCACGGGAGACACACGGCGGGUGCUAACGUCCGUCGUGAAGAGGGAAACAACCCAGACCGCCAGCUAAGGUCCCAAAGUCAUGGUUAAGUGGGAAACGAUGUGGGAAGGCCCAGACAGCCAGGAUGUUGGCUUAGAAGCAGCCAUCAUUUAAAGAAAGCGUAAUAGCUCACUGGUCGAGUCGGCCUGCGCGGAAGAUGUAACGGGGCUAAACCAUGCACCGAAGCUGCGGCAGCGACACUAUGUGUUGUUGGGUAGGGGAGCGUUCUGUAAGCCUGCGAAGGUGUACUGUGAGGCAUGCUGGAGGUAUCAGAAGUGCGAAUGCUGACAUAAGUAACGAUAAAGCGGGUGAAAAGCCCGCUCGCCGGAAGACCAAGGGUUCCUGUCCAACGUUAAUCGGGGCAGGGUGAGUCGACCCCUAAGGCGAGGCCGAAAGGCGUAGUCGAUGGGAAACAGGUUAAUAUUCCUGUACUUGGUGUUACUGCGAAGGGGGGACGGAGAAGGCUAUGUUGGCCGGGCGACGGUUGUCCCGGUUUAAGCGUGUAGGCUGGUUUUCCAGGCAAAUCCGGAAAAUCAAGGCUGAGGCGUGAUGACGAGGCACUACGGUGCUGAAGCAACAAAUGCCCUGCUUCCAGGAAAAGCCUCUAAGCAUCAGGUAACAUCAAAUCGUACCCCAAACCGACACAGGUGGUCAGGUAGAGAAUACCAAGGCGCUUGAGAGAACUCGGGUGAAGGAACUAGGCAAAAUGGUGCCGUAACUUCGGGAGAAGGCACGCUGAUAUGUAGGUGAGGUCCCUCGCGGAUGGAGCUGAAAUCAGUCGAAGAUACCAGCUGGCUGCAACUGUUUAUUAAAAACACAGCACUGUGCAAACACGAAAGUGGACGUAUACGGUGUGACGCCUGCCCGGUGCCGGAAGGUUAAUUGAUGGGGUUAGCGCAAGCGAAGCUCUUGAUCGAAGCCCCGGUAAACGGCGGCCGUAACUAUAACGGUCCUAAGGUAGCGAAAUUCCUUGUCGGGUAAGUUCCGACCUGCACGAAUGGCGUAAUGAUGGCCAGGCUGUCUCCACCCGAGACUCAGUGAAAUUGAACUCGCUGUGAAGAUGCAGUGUACCCGCGGCAAGACGGAAAGACCCCGUGAACCUUUACUAUAGCUUGACACUGAACAUUGAGCCUUGAUGUGUAGGAUAGGUGGGAGGCUUAGAAGUGUGGACGCCAGUCUGCAUGGAGCCGACCUUGAAAUACCACCCUUUAAUGUUUGAUGUUCUAACGUUGACCCGUAAUCCGGGUUGCGGACAGUGUCUGGUGGGUAGUUUGACUGGGGCGGUCUCCUCCUAAAGAGUAACGGAGGAGCACGAAGGUUGGCUAAUCCUGGUCGGACAUCAGGAGGUUAGUGCAAUGGCAUAAGCCAGCUUGACUGCGAGCGUGACGGCGCGAGCAGGUGCGAAAGCAGGUCAUAGUGAUCCGGUGGUUCUGAAUGGAAGGGCCAUCGCUCAACGGAUAAAAGGUACUCCGGGGAUAACAGGCUGAUACCGCCCAAGAGUUCAUAUCGACGGCGGUGUUUGGCACCUCGAUGUCGGCUCAUCACAUCCUGGGGCUGAAGUAGGUCCCAAGGGUAUGGCUGUUCGCCAUUUAAAGUGGUACGCGAGCUGGGUUUAGAACGUCGUGAGACAGUUCGGUCCCUAUCUGCCGUGGGCGCUGGAGAACUGAGGGGGGCUGCUCCUAGUACGAGAGGACCGGAGUGGACGCAUCACUGGUGUUCGGGUUGUCAUGCCAAUGGCACUGCCCGGUAGCUAAAUGCGGAAGAGAUAAGUGCUGAAAGCAUCUAAGCACGAAACUUGCCCCGAGAUGAGUUCUCCCUGACUCCUUGAGAGUCCUGAAGGAACGUUGAAGACGACGACGUUGAUAGGCCGGGUGUGUAAGCGCAGCGAUGCGUUGAGCUAACCGGUACUAAUGAACCGUGAGGCUUAACCUU
rnacentral:rRNA from 1 species